GGGCGCAGCCUGAUCCAGCCAUGCCGCGNGGUGGUGAAGAAGGCCUUCGGGUUGUAAAGCACUUUCAGUGGUGAGGAAGGGGAGUAAGUUAAUAGCUUAUUUCAUUGACGUUAGCCACAGAAGAAGCACCGGCUAACUCCGUGCCAGCAGCCGCGGUAAUA
rnacentral:rRNA from 1 species